rnacentral:lncRNA from 1 species
UGUAAGCCCUUAAGGGUUGGAUGGGUUUUGGCAGUCUACUUUGCCCAAGGACUGCCAGGACCGAGAGCCGGGCGCUCGCCGGGCGCUUCCAGGCGCUGCGCUCAUGUCGAGCGCACGCCGGGCGUUUCCAGGCGCUGCGUCCGUGCAGGGCGCACACCGGGCGUUUCCAGGCGCUGCGUCCGUGCAGGGCACGAGUAGCCUGAGUUGGGUGGUUCAAGUCAGUCAGAUGGUGAGCUGAGAUUAUUGUGCUGGGUUGCUAGAGCUAAGAUGCCUUAGUCAUUUUGGGCGUUUGGGCUGGAGCUGGGCAGCCUUGAUUUAAUCAGCAAAGUCCAAAGGCUGGGUUGGGCUGAACACUUUGUGGGCAACAUUCUUGUGGGCUGGAUCAGAGACAUGACUGUGGGAGAUGGAUUAAUUUCGUGGGAAUAUAUAUAUAAGCAUAUAUAUAUAUAUUGGGAGAGUAGAGCAACUGCUGGUAACUGCCCAAGGGUCCCAGGAUCUGCCUAGUGUCUUUGUAACUGCCAGAAAACUGCCUUGGCUGGGAGUAACUGCCUAGUAACUGCUCAGCAAGGAGAGAAAAACGUGGGAGACUUAGAUAGGCAUUAUUAUUGAUGUAAUCUAUGUCUUGUAUUCAAUCAUCUGCAUAGUAGAAACACUUAGAGAAAGUUAGGCAAUCAUUGUAAAAGGCAUUGGCCUAAUUCUCUUGUAUCCUUUUGGGUUGUGAAGGCAAUGAAAAGGUUGGGAGCCUUGCUCUUGUAAAUAUCUGCUGUGUGCUUGUAUUUACUAUUGUGGGUGUUAUUAAUUAUCGUAGAUAUAGUGAAGUAGGCUGACUGUUCUUGUUGGGGCGUUUGGGUUGCAAUCUGGGCACUUGAGAACCUCAGAAAAAGGGAACGCUGGAUUCAAGUUCAGGCCGCAUAGGGUGAAAAUUUGGAGUUGAAAAAUUAACCCUGUGACAACUGGUAUCAGAGCUGUGUUCAAUCAUGGUGGGCGGUUCAUCAACGAACGCUGAAAGGUUGACCAGAUUGGAGGAGUUUGUGGGUACUCCGUUGGCGACAGAUGACAUUACUCUGGCGAAUCAUGUCCAUAACCUUCAUGAAGGUCUGGGCGAAGUGAAGACGCUGAUUGAGAAUAUGAGUAGGGCGAACGAAGCUAAGUUUACAGAUUUGUUUGCCACAACUGCUGCAUCGGCUGAUUUGAUGAGGGAUCAGAUGCAGAAGAUGAGUGACGAGAUCACCAUCUUGAAGAGGGCCGUGGCUGGUGGCGCCUCGAGUGGUUCAUCAAAUAAUCACUCUAAGUUUAAAGUUCCAGAACCGAAGUCAUUUGGUGGGAGUCGGAAUGCUAAGGAACUUGAAAACUUCUUGUGGGACAUGGAACAGUAUUUUAAGGCUGCCCACAUUUCAGAGAAUGAGAUGGUAACGAUCACAAGUAUGUACUUGAUUGGAGAUGCGAAAUUAUGGUGGCGUACACGAAUGGAUGAUGAUGAUGAGUCGGGCAGGCCCAAGAUUGAUAGUUGGGAGAUGCUAAAGAAGGAAUUGAAGGAUCAAUUCUUGCCCAACAAUGCUGCUUGGUUGGCUAGAGAGAGUAUGAAAAACCUAAGGCAGACGGGCACCGUUCGUGACUAUGUUAAAGAGUUCAGUUCUCUGUUGUUGGAUAUUAAGAACAUGUCGGAUGAGGACAAAUUGUUCAACUUUGUGUCGGGAUUGAAGCCAUGGGCUCAAGCAGAGUUGAGGAGGCAGAAUGUGAAGGAUCUAACUUCUGCUAUUGCUGCCGCUGAUGGGCUGGUUGACUACAAAGUUGGGAACUCUUCUGGUGAUGCUAUCAAAGGCAAGGGUGUCGCUGGAAAGAACAAGGGGCAGAAAGACAAGAAGAAGUUCAAAAAGAAGGAUGGUGACGCCCCGGGUAAACCCAAGAAUGAUGGACAGUCCAAGGGAAAGACUAAGGGCUGCUUUAUUUGUGGGGGUCCUCAUAUGAUGAAAGAAUGUCCUAGGAAAGAGAAGCUGAAUGCUAUAAUUGAGACCGAAGAAAGGGAAGAGAAUUCUGAGCCGCCUAGAAGAGUCAAUCCAAUCAGAAUGCUAAAUGCCCUACAAACGGAGGAAAUGGUAAGAACUCAAGGGCUGACUUAUGUGAAAGUUAUUAUUAAUGGUCAUAGUGUGAUGGCCAUGGUAGACACGGGUGCUACCAACAGUUUUGUGGCUGAUAGAAAUGUUAAGUUGCUGGGAAUUGAGUUGCAGCCGAGUACUAGCCACUUCAAAGCUGUGAAUGCUAAUGCUCAACAAGUUGGAGGUGUGGCUUGUGUGAGUUUAAAAGUUGGGCCAUGGGAAGGUACGUGCAAACUGUUAGCAAUGCCCCUAGAUGAUUUUGAUGUGAUCUUGGGGAAUGAUUUUCUAGUUCAGGUGAAUGGGUCUGUUCACCCUCGCCUUGGAGGAAUAUUCAUUGCUGAUGAGAAAGAGCCGUGUUUUGUGAGGAGCAUUUCAGAAAGGUCGGAUAAGGGUAAGGCUAAAGGUGGGUUGUUGUCAGCUUUGCAAGUUGAAGCUGGGUUAAAACGUGGGGAAAUGACAUAUCUUGCUGCCUUGGUUGAGAUUAAGCCGGACAAAGUGGUUGAAGUCCCAGAUUCGGUUGCUGAGAUACUAGAGGAGUUUGAUGAUGUUAUGCCAUCAGAGUUGCCUAAGACCCUACCCCCUAGACGUGCCGUGGAUCACAAAAUUGAAUUGGAGCCUGGGGCAAGGCCUCCUGCACAAGCGCCUUAUAGGAUGGGUCCAGCUGAACUUGGGGAAUUGAGGAAGCAGCUAAAUGAGUUGUUGGAGUCAGGCUUGCUGCGUCCCUCUAAGGCACCUUAUGGAGCGCCGGUUUUGUUUCAAAAGAAGGCAGAUGGGUCCUUAAGAAUGUGUGUUGACUACCGGGCGCUCAACAAGGUGACAAUCAAAAACAAGUAUCCGGUUCCAAAUGUGACUGAGUUGUUUGAUAGGCUUACAAGGGCCAGGUACUUCACAAAGUUGGAUCUAAGGUCAGGCUAUUGGCAGGUUCGGAUUGCAGCUGGAGAUGAAUCAAAGACAGCGUGCGUCACUAGGUAUGGGUCCUUUGAAUUUCUAGUGAUGCCUUUUGGUUUAACGAAUGCUCCUGCUACAUUUUGCAAUCUUAUGAACGAUGUGCUAUAUGACUACUUAGAUAAAUUUGUGGUAGUAUAUCUAGACGAUAUUGUGAUUUAUAGUGAAAGUCUAGAUGAGCACUUGGAACACUUGAGAUGCAUAUUUAAGAAACUGCGAGAAUACACUUUGUAUGUGAAGAAAGAAAAGUGUGAAUUCUGUAGUUUGGAGAUUAUGUUCCUUGGUCAUGUGAUUAGCCAAGGGGUUGUGAAGAUGGACUCUAGAAAAGUAAAGGCCAUUAUUGAUUGGGUUGCCCCCACUAAAGUUGCUGAACUUAGAUCAUUUCUUGGGCUGGCUAACUAUUACAGAAAGUUCAUCAAGGGUUAUUCAAAAAUUGUGCAAAGCCUCACUGAUUUGUUAAAGAAGGACAGAAAAUGGGAGUGGACUGAAAGCUGUGCAAAGUCUUUUGAAAGGUUGAAGGAAAUUGUUGCAACUGAGCCGGUUCUUAGCCUUCCAGAUUUUGACAAGCCAUUUGAAGUUCAUACUGAUGCCUCAGAUAAAGCGAUUGGAGGUGUGCUGGUACAAGAGGGGCAUCCUGUUGCAUUUGAAAGUAGGAAGUUGAAAGAUGCCGAACAGAAGUAUAGUACUCAUGAGAAGGAAAUGACUGCAGUGGUUCAUUGUUUGGAAGUUUGGCGUCAUUACUUGCUGGGGACCAAGUUUGUGGUGUGCACGGAUAAUGUGGCCAACACUUACUUCAAAACUCAGAAGAAGCUGACUCCUAAACAGGCCCGGUGGCAGGAAUAUUUGGCAGAAUUCGAUUUCACUUGGGUGCAUAAACCAGGUGCCCAGAACAAUGUGGCUGAUGCGUUAAGUCGGAAGGUGGCUGUGAAAGAUUUUGUGAAUGCUCUAACAGUGGUGAACUCAGAUUUUGUUGGGCAAAUCAGGGCACUUGCGGGAAGUGAUGAGGCAUAUAAGAGACUUGUGAAGGAAGUGCGAGAGGGCAUUGUUCGUAAGUAUUGGGUUGAGAAUGGGCUGUUGCAUGCUAAAGGCAACAGACUAUAUGUUCCUUGUGGUGGGACACUGAGAUUACAGAUUUUGAAAGAGUCUCAUGACUCUAGAUGGGCUGGGCAUCCAGGGGUGGAACGUAUGUAUGCUUUGCUGUGUAGAACUUAUACGUGGCCUAAGAUGUUUGAAGACACAGAAGCUUAUGUGAAGUCAUGCCUAGUUUGCCAAGUUGAUAAAACAGAAAAGAGGAAGGAAGCGGGUUUGUUGCAGCCUCUUCCAAUCCCAAGUAGACCGUGGCAAUCUGUUUCUAUGGAUUUUAUUUCAGGGCUGCCUAAGGUUGAUGGGAUGAGAACUAUCUUUGUGAUUGUGGAUAGGUUCUCUAAGUAUGCAGUGUUUGUCCCUGCACCGCAUGCUUGUUCGGCUGAUGUAGCUGCUGGGUUGUUCUUUAAGAAUGUGGUAAAGUACUUUGGGUUACCUGAAGAUGUGAUUAGUGACAGGGAUGCAAGAUUCACUGGCCGGUUUUGGACAGUUCUGUUUGGGUUGUUAGGGUCUGAGUUGAAAUUUUCUACAGCGAAUCAUCCUCAAACGGAUGGCCAAACUGAAAGAUUGAAUGCGUUGCUGGAGGAAUACUUGAGGCAUUAUGUCACUGCAAGUCAGAAGAAUUGGCUGGACUUGAUGGACACUGCACAGUUUUGUUACAACUUGCAGCGUUCCUCAUCUACGGGUAAGAGUCCUUUCGAGUUGGUUUUGGGAGCACAGCCCAGGACUCCUAAUGAGGUGGCGAUUCAAAGAACUGGUGGGAAUUGUCCUGCUGCGUAUAGAUAUGCAUUGGGUAAACAAGAGAUGUUUGAGGAAGCUCAUGAUAGUCUAAGCAAGGCGCAGCAUCGGAUGAGAAAGUAUGCUGAUAAGAAACGCAGGCCUUUGGAGUUUCAGGUUGGGGACAAGGUGUUACUGAAGUUGACGCCUCAAAUAUGGAAGAAAAUUAGUUCAAAGUCGGUUCAUAGAGGGUUGGUACAGAAAUAUGAUGGGCCAUUCGAGGUAAUCAAGAGAGUUGGUGCAGUUGCCUAUCGAUUGAAUCUACCACCCAGGUUGAAGAUUCAUCCAACUUUUCAUGUAAGUUUUCUGAAGCCUUUUCACGAGAAUUUGUUGGGUCAAAGGCAGCAGCUUAAGCGGGCGCCUCCUACUGUUCGGAAGCAUUUUGACAAGGUUGUUGAGAAGAUCCUUGAUCAUAGAACUUUUGGAAUGAGUAGGCAGAAUAGACGGACAGAUUACUUGGUACAGUGGAAAGGGGAAUCAGAAGUGGAUGCUACAUGGGAAAGGGAUGUGACUUUGUGGCAAUUUGAAGAUCAGAUUAGAGAGUAUCUAGAAAACCCUCCAAUGAGGACAUUGGCCUCUUCAAGUGGGGGAGGGUUUGUAAGCCCUUAAGGGUUGGAUGGGUUUUGGCAGUCUACUUUGCCCAAGGACUGCCAGGACCGAGAGCCGGGCGCUCGCCGGGCGCUUCCAGGCGCUGCGCUCAUGUCGAGCGCACGCCGGGCGUUUCCAGGCGCUGCGUCCGUGCAGGGCGCACACCGGGCGUUUCCAGGCGCUGCGUCCGUGCAGGGCACGAGUAGCCUGAGUUGGGUGGUUCAAGUCAGUCAGAUGGUGAGCUGAGAUUAUUGUGCCGGGUUGCUAGAGCUAAGAUGCCUUAGUCAUUUUGGGCGUUUGGGCUGGAGCUGGGCAGCCUUGAUUUAAUCAGCAAAGUCCAAAGGCUGGGUUGGGCUGAACACUUUGUGGGCAACAUUCUUGUGGGCUGGAUCAGAGACAUGACUGUGGGAGAUGGAUUAAUUUCGUGGGAAUAUAUAUAUAAGCAUAUAUAUAUAUAUUGGGAGAGUAGAGCAACUGCUGGUAACUGCCCAAGGGUCCCAGGAUCUGCCUAGUGUCUUUGUAACUGCCAGAAAACUGCCUUGGCUGGGAGUAACUGCCUAGUAACUGCUCAGCAAGGAGAGAAAAACGUGGGAGACUUAGAUAGGCAUUAUUAUUGAUGUAAUCUAUGUCUUGUAUUCAAUCAUCUGCAUAGUAGAAACACUUAGAGAAAGUUAGGCAAUCAUUGUAAAAGGCAUUGGCCUAAUUCUCUUGUAUCCUUUUGGGUUGUGAAGGCAAUGAAAAGGUUGGGAGCCUUGCUCUUGUAAAUAUCUGCUGUGUGCUUGUAUUUACUAUUGUGGGUGUUAUUAAUUAUCGUAGAUAUAGUGAAGUAGGCUGACUGUUCUUGUUGGGGCGUUUGGGUUGCAAUCUGGGCACUUGAGAACCUCAGAAAAAGGGAACGCUGGAUUCAAGUUCAGGCCGCAUAGGGUGAAAAUUUGGAGUUGAAAAAUUAACCCUGUGACAC